GAGGGCCCCCAGGAUCUCUGCUCCCCGCAGGGCAGGGCGGGAGGGCCCCCAGGAUCUCGGGGCGGGAGGGCCCCCAGGAUCUCUGCUCCCCGCAGGGGAGGGCCCCCAGGAUCUCAGGGCGGGAGGGCCCCCAGGAUCUCUGCUCCCCGCAGGGCAGGGCGGGAGGGCCCCCAGGAUCUCGGGGCGGGAGGGCCCCCAGGAUCUCGGGGCGGGAGGGCCCCCAGGAUCUCGGGGUGGGAGGGCCCCCAGGAUAUCUGCUCCCCGCAGGGGAGGGCCCCCAGGAUCUCUGCUCCCCGCAGGGCAGGGCGGGAGGGCCCCCAGGAUCUCUGCUCCCCGCAGGGGAGGGCCCCCAGGAUCUCAGGGCGGGAGGGCCCCCAGUUUAAGGUUCUUUCUUUAAGGUUCUUGCAGCUCUUUCUGCCCCAGCCAAAAUUCCGGAGGCUGUUGCCCCCAGACCUGGGGUGACGCCUCUCAGGAAGAGUCUGGUACCUGGCUCAAGGUGCUCAGGGACAACAUGGGAUGGACUCUGCUGAAAGCUAUUUUCCAGCUUACUCCCGAUCUCCUCCACCCCACCGCCCUCUCCUGGCCCUCCUCCCUCUCUGACUGCUCCGCUGCCCCCUUUGCCGGAUCCUCCUGCGAGUUAUGCCUUCUGACCCCAGGUAUCCCUCUUGGCUCUCUCUGGGGCCCUGGAGCACCAGCCCUGGAGUCAAAGCCGAGUUCAAAUCUGGUCUCGGUCACUAAUGCUAGCUGUGUGAUCCUGGACGAGUCACUUACCCCAGUUGCCUUACAACCCCCCCUACACCCCAAAACGUUUCUCAGAUCUCCCUCUGCUCAGUCGACAUGUUCAAAUAUAACUCACGUUUUCCCCAUCCUUCUCCUCGUCCCUUCCCUGUCACUGUAGAAGGCAACAGCUCGGGCUCAAAGCCCAGGGCCCAUCGCGGAUUUCUCUCUCUCACAUCCCGUGUCCAGUGUGGAGCCAAAGCCUGCCGAGUUCCCUUCUGCAGCAUCUGUGGAAUGAGCCGGCUUCUCCCUGACACGGCCCCUUCCCUCAUCCCCUCACACUGAUUAUUGCAGGAUCUGCUGGGGAGGAGGGUCUCGCCCGCCUCCAGGUUCUCCCCAUUCCGUCCUCCAGCCACCAAAGGGAUUUCCUAAAGUGUUGUCACCUCCCUUGCUCAAUAACCUCCUAUGUAUCAACCCCACCUUCAGGUUCAAAUAAUAAACCCUCUCUGAACUUCAGGCUUCUUCCCCCUCUGCCUUUCUAGCCUCACCCUUACUGCCCCACAUCCAUCUGGGGACUCCAGCUGCGGCUGUUCCGUGACCCUCCCCCUCCUGGCUGCAGGCAUUCUCUCCGGCUACCCCUGUGCCUGGAAUAUUCUCCAUCCUGCCUUCUUCCUUCUAGUCCCAAAUAAAAUCCCAUCUUCAAGGAGGGGAGGACUGGCCGGCCCAGGGCGAUAGAAAGGUAGAACCAUUAGGUCUGGCCCUGCCAAGGCAACGCAGGCCACAAUGAGCUGAGAGCAAAGGCCUGCAAGCUCCCACUGCCGAGUCGAGCUCCUUGAGGGCAGGAUUGGCUCCCAGGGCUUAGCGCAUGCCUGGAGAUGAGGGAUUCUCAAUGGUUUCUCUGCCUCGCCUCUCCCCAGUCCAAUCCAGCCCCCAGGAAACUACGGGAGGCAUUUCCUUAAACUCAGCUUCACUCCCUGCACCACAACCUCAUCAACUGCUUUGAGCUGACCAUGGAUCGUUUCCAUUCUGGUCACAAACCCCAGACGACUCAAUGCUGCCCUUGUUUCUGGAUGCAGUGGCUCAGUCUAUACCCGUGGUCCUCUCCCCAUCCCAUUCUUCUUCAUCAUCAGAGCAGCUUUUGUCUAGUGCUACGAGAUUUGGUCACAAAACGUUUUGAGAACAGUCUCUCACUUUAUCCCACGGUCCUCCAGAGGAGGUAAGUCAGAGGCGCAGCGCCCUGUCCAGGGCGGUCCCACGGGAAUUCCCAGCCGCAGGUCCCCUUUGCCACCUACGGCACCCCGGCUGCCUCGGCCUCAUCAAAGUGCCCCUUGCUAACGAGGAUCCGUAUCGCCAGUGGUUAGCACACUUCCGGGCACACAAUAAAUACUGAAAUCCUUUUUUCAUCCGAUCCCCUGAUACCUUCGAUGAGAAACACUGCCUGAUCCCCCCCAAAUGAGCUGGCAUUCUUUGGGUAUACAUUCGGUACCUCCGGGGCCACCCUGUGAAGGUGAGCCAAGCUCCCGAGCCUUCAGGACCCUGGACAGCCGCCACCAAGUCCCUUUAAGUUCUAGCCCAGGCUGACACUGAGCAAGGAAGAGCAGCCCAUUUGGGGACUUUAAAAGGAGAAGGGACUUGCACGCAUCUCUCCCCCUCACCAGCAGCUGCUCCCGCAUGAGGCACACAUGAGCAUUGCCUCGGCCCUGGACCGUGGCUUCGGGCUCCCAGCUGUCCGUUCUGCUGAGCUUUCUGUCCCCCAGAAUAGGCGACUGACUGAGGGGAUCAUCUUCAGCCUUAGGAGUUGCCCUGGUGGGGAAGCUCUGCCCCACUCCUGGAGAGCAGACCGGCAGUGACAACUGCCUUCUGCAGCCACAACCUUUUAUGAGAACGCUGACAACCAGGAACCCCAGACCGGGGUGGGGGGGACAACCCAGAGAGCCAGCCCGGAGGGCCAGCCAGGACCAGGGGUAUAACUCCAGGGAGAUAAAAGUUACUCAUUCAUCUCCUGACCCUUUGUCAGCAUGAGCUGGAGCCCUUUGUAUUAAAGAUGUUCUUUUGUGUGGAGGGGGAAACAGCUGCCCCAUCUGUAGUGCCCGUUGCUUUCUUGGCUGUUCCUUUUGGGGAGGAGCCUAGAUGUGGACCAAAACUCAGCUCUUUAAGUGCUUUCCCUGGCAGUCUGGGCGAGGGGCCGAUAAGAGCCCAAAAUAAGACGGCUUAGCCCAGUGCUUGGCACGUGGACGCUUAUGCUGUUGGCUAACUUAAAGGCCUGUUGGCUGAGAUCCCAGCCCUAGUGAGGGCAGCAGCCCUGUGGCACGGAACAGUGCUAAUGCUACAGUUGUUUUCAUAUUCUUAUAUACAUGUUCCCCCUACCCCCCAUUCGGAUGCGAGCUCUCUGAGGGCAGCAACUCCAAAUUCUCUAUGCGUUCCACAGAAGGCAGCACUCAGUGCCCUCUUUGUCACCAGGAUCCCAGUCUUGGGGCCAAGGAAUCAUGGGGGAUCCCCCUGCCUUCCAGAAGAACCAAAGAUCGAGUCUUGGCAGACUACCCAGGAGUGAGUUUAUUCAAGAAUAGCAGGCAAGAAGCGAAGGUGGGGAUGAGGGGGCUGCCUGCAGGGUCGAAGGAGUGGGGCCAUCUCGGGACCAGAUGGGAAGGGCCACUGCGAUCCUCUCCAGGCCUCUCCUUGGAUGGAAGGCUCACUUCCAGCGUCCGCCAACACGACCCUUGCCGGCCCCCUUCCUACUGCUCAGGGAGAGGAAUGGGAGUCAGAACUGGGACUGGAUGGGAGUCGGAACCGGGGCUGGAUGGGAGUCAGAACCGGGGCUGGAUGGGAGUCAGAACCGCGGCUGGAUGGGAGUCAGAACUGGGGCUGAAUGGGAGUCAGCCCUGGGUGGAUGGGGUCCCAGGAAGCCCACCUCCCAGCUCUGCAAGCACAGGCUCACAACCACCAGACUUGCUGUCCAUGGGGGCUCAAGGACGGCCAGCUGAUAUUUGUGGGGUUUAUUGGAUCAAUAUGAGCCAGCUCUUUAGUGAGCCAUGGCCUGGGGGGCUGUUUCAUCACUGUCAUGGUCAGUGGACUCGGAAGUGUCGGAGUCCUGCUUGCGAGCAAGGGGAGGGGAGGAUCUAGGCUGGUGUAUAGCAUGGGGUGCGGAGGGAGGAAAGGAGGGAGGGGAAGGACAAAAUGAAGUGUGGAGGGACCCAGAGCCAGGGAGACAGAUCCAGGGAGAAACAGAUGGGGAGACUGAAUCUUAGGGAGAGACACUUUAAGCGACAAGAUGCUGGGGGGUACUGAGAAGACAUGCUCAGCCUGAGACAGAAACAGACAGAGACAGGUUGGAGUGGGAGAGAAAGAGACAGUGGGAGAGAGAAAGAGGGGAGAACAACGGAGAGAGAAAAAGAGGGGAAGAGAUCCAGACAGAGGGAGGGGAGAGAGACAAGAGGAGGAAGAAAGGGAGUCAGCUGCCCCCAGCCUGUGUCUAUGCUAGCCCUCACUGCCCAGAACUCAGCAAGCCAUCCAAGAGAGGCUUGGGCCUGAUGCCCUCGGCCCCCUUGUGGCCAGGACACUUUUCUCAUGGAGCUAGAGCUCUAGCUCCUUCCCUGCUCCUGGGCUCGGAUCUUGUAUGUCCCUAUUGAGUUUCCUUUUUGUCCUGCACAUGACACGGUUACCUCAUGCUGAACUUGCGGCCCACUACCGUCCUCAGAUCUUUUUGGAUUCAUGAUUAUCUAUCCAUGUGUUCCCUAAAAUAUAUUUGCAAGAGUUUUAAUUUUUUUUACCCUAAGCAUCAAUUAUUGACUUAGAUACUGCAGAGAACGAGUAAUCUCACAGUAUCCUACACUUUCUCACAGAGGAUGUAUUUGGAGCCUGCUCUAUGCCCUACCCGCCUUGGGUACCAGCAGGCCGUGUGCCUGGUCCCCAGGGGCCUUGGGUACCAGCAGGCCAUGGGCCCGGUCCCCAGGGGCCUUAGGUAAGGCUGUGUAUCUGCUCCCCCAGGGGCCUUGGGUAAGGCUGUGUGCCCGGUCCCCCAGGGGCCUUGGGUACCAGCAGGCCACGUGACCAGCCCUUGCUCCCCCUCAGCACCAGACCACUUUCUUCUCCCACGGCCAUCUCUAUGGUGUCAUCCUUCCCACCAACCUUGGUGUUGAAGCCUCGGCCUGUGGGCCACUGCCCCCCACUGCCCACUUCUCUAUGGUCCCCGGGGCGGUCUUCCCUCCAGCUCACUGGACACAGGCGUCCCCCCGGCUCCCAGCCAGCAGAGCCUUGGAGCCUCCUCACUUGCUUGAUGGAAGAAGCUGGCGCCCAGAGUGGGGCGGCCCAAAGUUGUUAAGUGUGAGGGUGCGUGGGAACCCAGACAUUUUCCCUCACUGCACCAUCACUUGUACAUGACCAAGGGAUGCUCUAGCUAGAGGCCUGGGCCUGGAUGCGGGGGAGCAGCUCGGGGGCCCCAGGAGCCCUGCCCAAGGCCCAAAAGCCAUGUAGGUGCGAGCCCAUCUCCCACAGCCCGGAUGUCCUGAGGAACCAGCCUCCGGCUUGGCCAUCCCGCUGCAUGUGAGACCACAGAAGGCACACUCUCCGCACCCUCAGCCAGAAAGUGUCCGUGUGGCCUUAAGCAAGUGACCCCCCUCUUUGGAGACCUGUUCCUAGCGGGUAAAACCAUCCUCUUGAACUCAGUGGCUCCUUCCAACCUGGCGUCUGGGAGCCACCACCCCCGCCACGGGCCAAAGGCUAAGCCGGGCCUUCCCCUAGAUUUCCAUCCCAUUAGAUUUUCC